rnacentral:lncRNA from 1 species
CAUGGCUUUGAUCUCAAAUGAAGCAAAAGAAAAGCUCCCAAUACUCCAAAAGCUCCAUAAAAACCAUUUCUAGGUUUUCCAAAACCCUAGUUUAGGAGUUAACAUGAAAAAGGGCAAAGCUUACCUCAAAGCUUGCCUUUUCUUCAAGCUAGAGAUGAAGGAGAAGGAGUUUCUUCACUUCUUCUUCUUCUUCUCCACUUUCUUCCUCUUCUUUUCCUUCUUUUCUUUCUUUCUUCUUCUUCUCUUUUGUCUUCUAGAGAGAGAGAGGGAGAGAAGAGAGUGUUUGAGGGGGUGAAAAUGAGAGAAAAUCUCAUUUACCCCAUUACUAUACUCAAUGGGUUGCCAAAAUGCAAAUAAACCCCUCAACUUUCACUUUAAUACACUGCCCGAACUGGGCAGUUUUCGCAGGCAGAGACCGGUCUCCCCGAGCAGGGACCGGUUCCCGAACGUCCACCCUGCGCAGCCAGAGUCGCUGCGCGCGAUGCGACCGGUCUCUCUCCGAUGGGACCGGUCUCUGGGGGACCGGUCUCUCAGGCAGAGACCGGUUCCCGAGAGCCAUCCUUCCAGGACUUAGCCGAUUUUUCGGCUGUCUCAUUCUGCACGCGUUCGGGGACCGGUCUCUCCCUUCAGGGACCGGUCCCCGAGAGCUGAAAAUCU